CUUAAGCUUUUUAUCAAGCUUAGUCUUUCGCAUUUGCUGCUUCUCAAGCAUCAGAAUUUGGGCAUGGGAAAUUUCACCAGGCUUGACAACUGGAUUAAAGGCCAUGGCUUCUAAUUUUUGGGCAACUGGGCAACUAGAUUAGUCACCAAAUUUGAAAGACUAAGCUUCUAAUCCAGUUGUUUCUCUUGCAAAAAUAGAAACUGAAAUUUUUCUGGGAGAAACAGCAUAUGAAGAAGAUUUUUUUACCUUUCAUAACAGGGUAAGUUCAUUGGAACAAAUCUCUGAGUAAUUCAAUUGGAUUGUAAACAUAAAAGGCGGGGAAAAAUCCCAAAAGAAAAAAAAAAGGCUUCCAUCUGAAAACUCAUAUCAACAACCGAGAAUCAACAAUGGUUCUGAUCGUCUUUAGUCCUCAGAAUUAGGAACUGUUUCAAGUAAAUCAGAGCUUUAAUCCUCUGUCUGAAUUCCAAAUCCACUCGCUUCAAUUGAUAGAGUACCUACAGAAGACCCACGGGCGGAGAGAGACAGAUGAGAAAUUCCGGCAAAAGCUCCAAGACAAAUGCGAAGGCCGGCAACGGUCAGGAGAUCAGGAGAGACAGGAAAUCGGGUACAAGCAUGAAUGGAUCGCCGAAGAAAGGUGGCCAUGGCGGCAAGUUCACGUGGUCUGGUGAUGGUUACUCCGAUGCUGAGCUAGGACGGAUCCACAAAGAAGUUGUCGACGUAAAUGAUCCCAACUAUGAAGAUCCUAUUAAGAACGAAGACUAAAGAUCAUAAAUAUCAUCGUCAUCGUCAUCGGCUGUGAUUAUCAAAUGUUGAUCUUCUGAUUUAUUUGUUUUUUAAGAACUUGGAGAUGUAAAUACGCCUUUGAUUAUACCUAGAUUUAUGAAUCUAUGGUGAUCUGUGAUUUACCAUAUUAAACAAAAAAAAAAGAAUUCCAAAUCCAAUCUUCACCAACCCAGAAACUGAUCUUCCGACUUAAAAAUUCCUGCUAUCUCCCCUGUCGAACAAAAUUCAGCCAAAAAAGACAAGCUUAAAUUGCCAAAGAUUCAUACAAGAAAAUCCACGAAAAUCAAAUUUCCAAUACCAUCACUAACCUCCAAAGCUUCAGGAUCAGACAGAAAAAUCAGAUUUCUAAGGAAACUCAAAUCCCAGUCCAAAGAAUUCUUCUGAAAACAACUCCAAUUCCUCUUGAAUAUCCAGUUGCCCAAAUUUCACGGGGCUUCUCAAGCCCAAAUUUCGCAAUUUCACCAGGCUUCUUACUCAUAUGACUUCCCAUGGCUUCUUCUCAAGCUUCUAAGAAUUCACGGCAUGAAGUGUCCAAAAAGCGCCUGAAUGGACCGCCGUCUACUUCAAUAAGAGACAAGUUUGCGGCGGCGCUACGACGUAGGUCCUUAAUUGGCGUAUAUAUUUUACUUUGAGGACUAAUUUCAUAGUAAAAAACUUUAAGAGACCAAAUUGGCGUUAGUGAAAAUGUUUAGGGACUAAAUUGGCGAUUUUCCCUAUGAUUUUAUGUCUGAACAAACGCCAUCUUUUCUAAAAUCAAGAAUCACAUAUAAUGUGAACAUCCGUGCUCAACUGUACCAAAUCUUGCUAUUGAUCUUCCAAGUCC
rnacentral:lncRNA from 1 species